GAGGGGUCAGGUGUCAUACUGUG
rnacentral:miRNA from 13 species